CCGAAUGAGUUUCUGACCUAUCAACUCGAGACGGCGGGGUAGAGGCCCGCCGCGGUAACGACGGGUAACGGGGAAUCAGGGUUCGAUUCCGGAGAGGGAGCCCGAGAAACGGCUACCACUUCCAAGGAAGGCAGCAGGCGCGCAACUUACCCUAAUCUCGAUUCGAGGAGGUAGUGACAAGAAAUACCGAUGCGGGACCCUACGGGUGCCGCGUUCGGAAUGAGUACGAUUCGAACCACCUAACGAGGAACGAUCGGAGGGCAAGUCUGGUGCCAGCAGCCGCGGUAAUUCCAGCUCCAAUAGCGUACGUUAAAGUUGCUGCAGUUAAAAAGCUCGUAGUUGAACGUUCGGGUUCCGCGGACGGGGCCGCCCCGCGAGGGACGGCGCCGCCCCGGGGCUCGUGAUAUCUCAUCUCGCCGCCCGUCGCGAGGCGGACGGAGGGAUGGAUGAGGUUACCUGGAAAAAAAUCGGGGCG
rnacentral:rRNA from 1 species